rnacentral:rRNA from 1 species
ACAAUGGAGAGUUUGAUCCUGGCUCAGGAUGAACGCUAGCGGCAGGCUUAACACAUGCAAGUCGAGGGGUAGAUUUUCUUCGGAGAAUUGAGACCGGCGCACGGGUGCGUAACGCGUAUGCAACUUACCUUAUACUGGGGGAUAGCCCGGAGAAAUUCGGAUUAAUACCGCAUAUGCUCACAGUUUCGCAUGGAACAGUGAGGAAAGAUUUAUCGGUAUAAGAUAGGCAUGCGUCCUAUUAGCUUGUUGGUGAGGUAACGGCUCACCAAGGCGAUGAUAGGUAGGGGGCCUGAGAGGGUGGUCCCCCACACUGGUACUGAGACACGGAC